UUUCCAUAUCCAUUUGGCUAGGAGGACUUUGUUCUUCUCCUCUAUUGAAUAUAGGCCAAGACUUCUCUUGUCUAACGGGAGAUUUAUGGUAUUCAAUCGAACAAGAUGUGAUCCCACUUUCCACAUAUAGUUUCUGAAUAAUCUUUCUAUGUCUAUAGUCACUUUGAGACAUUUCGAAUAGAGACAUGUAGUAAGUAGGAAGGUUAGACAAUGUGUCUUGUGUUAGAGCGAGUCUUCCGCCUUUGGAACUGUAGCACGAUGAUCAUGUCUAUAACCUUAUUUCUAUGUUUUCAAUGAUGGUCUUUCAAAAGGAGAAAGGUUUAGGGUUCCCAUUUAAGGGCAUUCCCAAGUACAUAUUCGAUCAUUCACCAUUUUUACAACCUUAUUUGUUGAUGGAGUUGUCAAUAUCCACUGUCCUAACAUUGAUGUCCAUUAUCUCUAUUUCUUGUCGGUUGAUGCUUUGCCUCGAGAACCUCUGGAAGGUUUUCACUGUAUCAAGCAUGUUUUUUACAUUUUUAAUUUAAGAUAUUAGGGAACAAGAAACAAGAAAUGAUUACAAA